rnacentral:rRNA from 1 species
GACGUAGGAUGCAAGCGUUGUCCGGAAUUAUUGGGCGUAAAGAGUUCGUAGGUGGUUACUUAAGUCUGGUGUUAAAGCCCGAAGCUCAACUUCGGCAUGGCAUUGGAAACUGGGUGGCUAGAGUAUGGUAGAGGUCUCGGGAAUUCCAGGUGUAGCGGUGAAAUGCGUAGAUAUCUGGAGGAACACCGGUGGCGAAAGCGCGAGACUGGGCCGUAACUGACGCUGAGGAACGAAAGCCAGGGGAGCAAAAGGG